rnacentral:lncRNA from 1 species
CAGAACCCCAGCUGAAAGCAAAGUUCAAGAUCAUUCCAAGGCCCUUGAGUUGCCAAAACAUCCAAACGACACUGAUGUGCAUGGCUGCAGAAGCUGGGGAGGAAGGAGAGUGGGAGCAGGGAGAGAACCUACAAAUCCCCAACAGAAAAACCAGAAGCGCAGGGGAGCCCCAGACACUGGCAUCUGGAUGGGCCCUGGCAAGCCGGAGGACAGUCCACGGCAAAGAGUCUCAGGGUCUUGCAGAGCGACACACUCAACACCCUCCGUGUCACAGGGACCCUGUGGGGAAAAGUGGUUCCCCUGCCCCCACCCAAGCCAGAGUCUUCCAGAGUCUCCCAUCUCAGUAUCCUGAACCCAUGGCUUAGAGGUUCUGGCAUGAUGGCCGUGAGGGCAGGAGGGGAUUCAAGCCAGGCCCCAGAGUUCAGGUGUUAAUGCUGUCCUAGAGCAGGUGGCCACGUG